GACGAACGCUGGCGGCGUGCUUAACACAUGCCAGUCGAACGGAAAGGCCCUGCUCUUGUGGGGUGCUCGAGUGGCGAACGGGUGAGUAACACGUGAGUAACCUGCCCUUGACUUUGGGAUAACUUCAGGAAACUGGGGCUAAUACCGGAUAGGAGCUCCUGCUGCAUGGUGGGGGUUGGAAAGUUUCGGCGGUUGGGGAUGGACUCGCGGCUUAUCAGCUUGUUGGUGGGGUAGUGGCUUACCAAGGCUUUGACGGGUAGCCGGCCUGAGAGGGUGACCGGCCACAUUGGGACUGAGAUACGGCCCAGACUCCUACGGGAGGCAGCAGUGGGGAAUAUUGCACAAUGGGCGGAAGCCUGAUGCAGCAACGCCGCGUGCGGGAUGACGGCCUUCGGGUUGUAAACCGCCUUCGCCUGUGACGAAGCGUGAGUGACGGUAAUGGGUAAAGAAGCACCGGCUAACUACGUG
rnacentral:rRNA from 1 species